GGAAAUUAUUUUGAGGAAAGUGGGAGGGGAGCAGAAUGCAGCUGGAGCCGUAGGAGAGAAGAAGGUUAUAGUGAAGGUGACCACCGAUGGUAUAUAGAUGCAUGGAAGGGAACAUUUGACCAAGAACAGUGUGAACCUCUACCCCCUCUAACUGGCUGAAGAAAUGGCGAAAAUGGUGUUCACUAUGGCCCUGUCCUUUACCACUUCUACUGUGAGACCUGAGUCCGAGCCAGCAACCUGUACACAGCAUCCAGUUGAAGCUAUCAACUGCCUUUUCUCUCAGAGUGCGACAUGGGUGCACGUGGAGUGAGGAUGGAGAAAUAUCCCAUCCAAACUUGCUGGUGUACUAGUAGGAAAAUGGACAAGACAUAAUGGACUGUAAAGGAUAGUGGAGGCUCAGGUGAGAGACAUUAUCAGGGGCCAUCCACUUUGAACGUGUCAUUAAAAGGACAAACUGGAACACUAUCUGAAGAAGAACAUGAAGAAACGCAAGAAGGAUAUUUUAGAUUUUUUAAUUUAACCUUUAUUUAACUAGGCAAGUCAGUUAAGAACAAAUUCUUAUUUACAAUGACAGCCUACCCAUGACAGCCAAAUACUAACCCGGAUUCUUGGCCAAUUGUGCGCCGCCCUAUGGGACUCCUAAUCACGGCCGGUUGUGAUACAGCCUGGAAUAGAACCAGGGUCUGUAAUGACGCCUGUAGCACUGAGAUGCAGUGCCUUAGACCGCUGCGGCACUCGGGUAUCAGGUUGAUUGUAGAGGUCUGCACACUGUGAAAUGUAUAAUAAUUUAGACUAAGAAUGCAUUGCGAUACCAAUCUGUCAGAAAAGUUAAUGCUGGAAAUAUAAGAUUAAUAUACUGUAUGUCAAUGUGAAUGUGUAUUCUGCCAGUAUCGGUGUGUGCUAAAUUGAGGGUGAUAGAACCAACGUGAAACACUAAG
rnacentral:lncRNA from 1 species